rnacentral:rRNA from 1 species
AUUGAGCGCUGGCGGCAUGCUUUACACAUGCAAGUCGAACGGUAACAGGCCUUCGGGUGCUGACGAGUGGCGAACGGGUGAGUAAUGCAUCGGAACGUGCCCAAUCGUGGGGGAUAACGUAGCGAAAGUUACGCUAAUACCGCAUAAGCCCUGAGGGGGAAAGUGGGGGACCGCAAGGCCUCACGCGAAUGGAGCGGCCGAUGUCAGAUUAGCUAGUUGGUGGGGUAAAGGCCCACCAAGGCGACGAUCUGUAGCGGGUCUGAGAGGAUGAUCCGCCACACUGGGACUGAGACACGGCCCAGACUCCUACGGGAGGCAGCAGUGGGGAAUUUUGGACAAUGGGCGCAAGCCUGAUCCAGCCAUGCCGCGUGCGGGACGAAGGCCUCGG